CAAGGAAAACUGAGCCGUGCUGUGGUCGCUCUCUGGCACAAGCGCGCGCACGAACACGCAGGCACAAGCAGGCAAGCGCGAAUACCCAAACGCAUCAAACAAAUGCUAAUGUCAUCUUUCUGUUUACGGAAUGAAGAAGAAUUUGUUCUCUACGACAGCCGCGCACGUUCUGACUUCUAUUCCACGCAAGACGUGUAUGCCCGAAACCAGCGAUAAGCACUCAUCAUUUCACCGCCCGCCGCUGACUGAGCCUGGAAUAGAACGCUGGUACAAGACGCGAAAGUCCGAGAACAUUCCCUCAGUUCCUUGCGACUGCUUCAACGCUCCACAUCUACCUCUCCACUCCACAGUUCUCAUCGACCAAGCAAACCUUCCUCUCAACAUGGACAGGGACUCUUCUACGACCUCCAUCACGAAGAUCACGAAAGUGGUCGAGACGGAUGACGCCAUUUAUGUGGAGGAGACGACCAUCACCGAAUCCGAGUAGAGAUAUACACGUACUGCCUUCGAUGAUUGUAUAUAAGCCAUCCGUGUUGUCGUAAGCCUUCGUUUUUCGUCAUAGAUAUGUUGAGCGUAGUACACUUUACUCAACCCCCCCCCCCCCCCUCUCUCUCUCCUUGUGACUACCAACUACCGCAUAGCAUGUUUGAGGCUUAGCAUUGAGCACCCUCUCGUUCAUGUGAUGCUCCAUACUCUCAUUCUUUUCACCGUGCAACGUACUCCUAGUUGAUGGCCGGAUCUCCACAAUCAUGUUCUUCUUGAUCUUACCUUCCAGAUGUCAUUCAAAGUUAUCUUGACGAACAGAUAGAAUUCAAAGCCUGAAAAUUCCUUA